UCUUAGUGGCGGACGGGUGAGUAACGCGUGGGUAACCUGCCCCAUACCGGGGGAUACCACCUGGAAACAGGUGCUAAUACCGCAUAAGCGCACGGGAGCGCAUGCUCCUGUGUGAAAAACUCCGGUGGUAUGGGAUGGACCCGCGUCUGAUUAGCCAGUUGGCAGGGUAACGGCCUACCAAAGCGACGAUCAGUAGCCGGCCUGAGGGGGUGGACGGCCACAUUGGGACUGAGACACGGCCCAAACUCCUACGGAAGGCAGCAG
rnacentral:rRNA from 1 species